rnacentral:rRNA from 1 species
UCCGUAGGUGAACCUGCGGAAGGAUCAUUAAAGUAUCUAAGGUGUUCAGUCCGCGCGCCCUGCUCCGACCGAAAGGUCGUGCAGCGGGCCGAGGCAGACGCCUAACCUUCACAAACCCCACUGUGCACCUUCACGGCGGAGGCCUUCGGGCGAGAGCCUGUCGGCCGAAGCCGUCCCUACAAACACUAGUAUUAAGAACGUCAAAGCGACCCCGUCGCCCAUUAAACAUAACAACUUUCAACAACGGAUCUCUUGGCUCUCGCAUCGAUGAAGAACGCAGCGAAAUGCGAUAAGCAGUGCGAAUUGCAGAACCGUGAGUCAUCAGAUUUUUGAACGCAACUGGCGCCGAUUGGCUAUCCAGUCGGCAUGCUUGUUUCAGUGUCUUAUUUUCUCAUCACCCAAAUCUUAAUGCGAGAGAUACCCUUCUCUUGCUAAGUACGAAAGCACUCUGAGCCCUGCAAGUGGCUUGGCUUCGGUCAAGGUCACACUCAAUGCAGCAGUCACAUUUUUUCAAUGGUGGAACUCCAUUGGAGGAGGUAGGAGGUCAGGCGGCAGGCUUGGUCUGGCAAGGUGGC